CAGUAGCCGCGGUAAUACAGAGGGUGCGAGCGUUAAUCGGAUUUACUGGGCGUAAAGCGUGCGUAGGCGGCUAAUUGAGUCGGAUGUGAAAUCCCCGAGCUUAACUUGGGAAUUGCAUUCGAUACUGGUUAGCUAGAGUGUGGGAGAGGAUGGUAGAAUUCCAGGUGUAGCGGUGAAAUGCGUAGAGAUCUGGAGGAAUACCGAUGGCGAAGGCAGCCAUCUGGCCUAAUACUGACGCUGAGGUACGAAAGCAUGGGGAGCAAACAGGAUUAGAUACCCCUGUAGUCCCUGUCUCUUAUAA
rnacentral:rRNA from 1 species